rnacentral:rRNA from 1 species
CCUACGGGUGGCAGCAGUGGGGGAUAUUGCACAAUGGGGGAAACCCUGAUGCAGCGACGCCGCGUGGGUGAAGAAGUAUUUCGGUAUGUAAAGCCCUAUCAGCAGGGAAGAAAGAAGACGGUACCUGACUAAGAAGCCCCGGCUAACUACGUGCCAGCAGCCGCGGUAAUACGUAGGGGUCGCGCGUUAUCCGGAUUCACUGGGUGUAAAGGGAGCGUAGACGGCCGUGCAAGCCAGGAGUGAAAGCCCGGGGCCCAACCCCGGGACUGCUCUUGGAACUGUGCGGCUGGAGUGCGGGAGGGGCAGGCGGAAUGCCUGGUGUAGCGGUGAAAUGCGUAGAUAUCAGGAGGAACACCGGCGGCGAAGGCGGCCUGCUGGACCGCGACUGACGUUGAGGCUCGAAAGCGUGGGGAGCGAACAGGAUUAGAUACCCCUGUAGUC